GAUGAAGAACGUAGCGAAAUGCGAUAACUAAUGUGAAUUGCAGAAUUCCGUGAAUCAUCGAGUCUUUGAACGCACAUUGCGCCCCCUGGUAUUCCGGGGGGCAUGCCUGUUCGAGCGUCAUUUCACCACUCAAGCCUCGCUUGGUAUUGGGCAACGCGGUCCGCCGCGUGCCUCAAAUCGACCGGCUGGGUCUUCUGUCCCCUAAGCGUUGUGGAAACUAUUCGCUAAAGGGUGUUCGGGAGGCUACGCCGUAAAACAACCCCAUUUCUAAGGUUGACCUCGGAUCAGGUAGGGAUACCCGCUGAACUUAAGCAUAUCAAUAAGCGGAGGA
rnacentral:misc_RNA from 1 species